UCGGGCUAAUAUCUUGAAGCUAAAAAGCAAGGCUUAAUUGCGACAGAUGCUGCAAAUUCCAGUGCAAAAGGCCAGCUCCUAUGUGAUCUAAACCAGGGAGGCACAUCCAGACCUGGAGGAGAGGACCACAUGUUGCCGAGAGAUGGAAACAUAUUUGCUCUCAUAGCAGUAGAAUUGUUGGCUGUGUGCUCAACAUGACUCAGCUCAACAUGACUUAGCUGCCCGAGCUUCUGCUCUACACAGACAUGUGGUUGUGAUCUGAAUCCUCUUGGACCAGACAGCUGAGGGCCGUACCCCAGAGGCGAUGAAGACAAAGCAGAAGGAGGCUGGCCCCUCGGAUAAUCUCCUGAAAGGGAGCUGCCAUGCCGGCCAGAUGGCCUCUCUCCAACUUUCCACACAGGGGAGAAUUAAACCUUACGUGUUCAAGCCACUUUUGUUCUGUCAAACGCUUUCAAACCUGAGCUCAGUUAAUACUCAUGGCAACUAAUUUGAGUCAGACUUCCUACUGUUAAACCAGCCUUGCAUUCCUCUGGUAAAUUUACUUUGGUCGUAAAUUUUUGUGUUUUGCUUGUAUGCAUGUUUCACAUUGCCGGAUUUAAUCUUUAGAUUAUUAUUUAUGAUUUUUACUAUGAUCAUAAACAAAUUUAGCCUAUAACUUGCCCCUUCUUGUGCUGUCCUUUCCCAAUCUUGAUUAUGAAAGUGAUUUUAGCUUCACUAGAUGAUUUGGGCGGGUGUUUCUUGUUUCUAGUUUCUGCAACAGUUGAUUCAGAAUCGCGAUGUUAUACUUAUCAAAUAUUUCAGAGACCACCCUCUAAAAUUCGUGGAUUCUGAUGGUGUAUUUUAUGUGUAUAUUUUGAAUUAUCUUUAAUGGGCAGAGAUUUGUUUUUCCAGAUAGUUAUGUUUACUUUUUUGCUUCUGUUUUUAAAAACCAAAUGAUGGACUUCGUUUGGAUUUCACCAGGUUUCCUGCUAAGGUACUUGUUAUGAGCCAGGACCCAGUCCCGGAUCCCACAGGGAUUCUGUUUUCUCAUGGUUACACUGUGGUGGUGGAUUUGGGGGAGGGAAUUCUAUGCCCUCGAUGCUCUAUGUCAGGGGGCCUGGGCUGGUGCUACAGCUUGUAGCAGUGACAUUAACCUUCAUCUCUGUCAAGAUUUACACUGCAAAAUCACGAUUUUCCGGUUGUAUUUGAGGAAUGCUUUAAGGCUGCCCAAACAUCCCAUUUCUCCUUAAGCUUUUACCCACUAAUUCUAGCUUCCAUGGGUGGAUCUUGCCUAUAGCGGUUAUCACCACGGUUUUGUAGAGGUGAUUUUAAAAUUGCCAUCCAUCCAACCAUUUUACGUGUAUUAAUUGGAAUAUUACCGUAAAGAAGAGUUGCCCGUUUACUUCCUUCCUUCCUUCCUUCCUUCUUUCUUUCUUUAUUUCUUUCCUUCUUUCCUUAUUAAAAGAUUUUAUUUUUUUACGUGAUGUCUACACCCACUGUGGGGCUCGAACCCUCAACCCCAAGAUCAAGAGUUGCCCGCUUCUCCGACUCAGCCAGCCAGGUGCCCCCUUCCCACAUUUAUUUAUUUAUUCAAUUAUUUGCUUAUGGACUUGUAGAUAUCUUCCCCUCUGGGUUUUAAUCAAAUACUAGUAUUAUUUAUUUUCUUAUUCAAAUUGUUUCAGCUUUGGCCGGUGAGUGCUCUUUCUGAUUGGUUCCUGUGUCGUUGAGAUAUGCCUCGCUCAAAUUUGUUCUUCUUCUCCCCUCCCAAGAUUGUUUAUUCUGGGCCUUUUGCAUUUCCAUAUGACUUUUAGGAUCA